AUUUGGGCUCGGACCUUGGUGUCCGAGUUCUUGGUUCUGUGACCUCCGUAAAGGGGGCUGCGUGUUCCAGUAACCUGGUGGCUGAUCAGCCAUCGCAGAACCCUAGUGUGAUUGCUUGCCAGUGCAUCGGCGGGACGCCGAUUGAAAAGCUGGGGGCAGAUUGUGGUAAGACGCACUGAAUAAGUGCUUAUUUGUGAGUGAGAAGCCUCGACCAAUGGCGUGCGUCGCUGGCCUAUUUAAGGGGAGGUGAUGGGGAACCCGGAAACAAAGCGCGACUCUUCGCCCCCGCCCACUGCGGGUCCCGGUCGGUUCCUGUCUCGUUCCUCAUCCACCUGUGGCUUUGGCCGGCUCGUGUCAGAAGCGGAUCUUGCAGAAAGAUUCCGUGCUUAAUUGCAACUGCACGUUCCGGCGUCCAGUUUCCUUCCAGUCUGCGCAGCGCGCAUUCUGUGAGUUUUUGGGGCUCGCUCCGAGCGUCUGUUAAUCGGGCGACUUGUGGAAUUGGGCGAGCCUCACUAAGAUUAAUUAAGACGCCUGGCAUCAUCUGGGGUUGCCGGAUUUGGUCCCGCUGCCGUUCUUGUCAACCUGAAGUUACCAAGCAGUGUCCUGGUUGGACUGACGCUGUCGCCCGUGUGAAGAGUCUGCAAGACCACCAAGCAUCAAAGCAUUUUUAUACUAAGUUUUAGCUAUUGUGCGCGUGUGAGAGAGGGUGUGCGUGCGAGUGAGUGGUUGUGAGACUAGUUGGUGUGUGUGUGUCUAGAGUGUGGUGUGGGGAUGCUCCUUUUGGGUUAAUUUGGGGUAACUUGGGUUUUGUCGCCCUUGUUACCUUGUGUAACUGAUAUAUUGUGCGUGGUCAGCAACCACAGUGGUCAAUCUUUGGUUUUGUCCCCUCCCAUUACUUUUGAGCUGUUUAUAUUGGUUUCAUAUGUUUGUGUACUUAUUUUGUUUUCCUCCUUAAACCCCUUUUUUGUUUCUUUGCUUUUCAGGUGCUGAGCGUUUCACGGCAGGGUGGCAGCCAACCCUUUCGGUGGUGGUGUCCUACUUCUGUGUGUGUGCAUUCCACGUAUGCUCAGUUUUUGGUUUAUUUAAUUUACUUCUUUGGUUUGCAGUGAGUGUGACACGUGUGCUUGCAUGCUAUUGUUCGGACUCUGGCUUCAUCCCUUGGUGGCUUGCCCCCCCCCUGCUGGUGGGCCUCAGCCCUGUCAAGCGCGAAAAUCACUUCAUCCCUGCCCCAAAAAUAUUGUCGAAGUGUGACUCCAUUUUUAUUGACCUCCGGGUAAAGUAUUUCAAAAGAAACUGAUUUUAUUUAAACUAAAAUAAUAAAAUUAUAUUUUCAUAACAGUCAGUCUCUGGU